rnacentral:rRNA from 1 species
UUUUAAGGUCAAGCUACAAAGGGCGCAUGGUGAAUGCCUUGGCACUAGGAGCCGAAGAAGGACGCGAUAAGCUGCGAUAAGCCUUGGGUAGCCGCAAAUAGGCUGAGAUCCAGGGAUUUCCGAAUGAGGAAACUCACAUGGGUAACCCCAUGUAUCAUGCACUGAAUACAUAGGUGUAUGAGGGUAAACCCGGGGAACUGAAACAUCUAAGUACCCGGAGGAAGAGAAAGAAAAAUCGAUUUCCUAAGUAGCGGCGAGCGAACGGGAAAGAGCCCAAACCAGAAACUUGUUUCUGGGGUUGUGGAUAGAUCAUAAAAGAAGAGGUAUCUUAAUCGAAGAGGGCUGGAACGCCCUACCAUAGAAGGUAAUAGUCCUGUAGAUAAAAAGAGAAAACUUCGAGAUCUAAUCCAGAGUACCACGAGACACGUGAAACCUUGUGGGAAGCAGGGAGGACCACCUCCCAAGGCUAAAUACUACCUAGUGACCGAUAGUGAAGCAGUACCGUGAGGGAAAGGUGAAAAGAACCCCGGAAGGGGAGUGAAAUAGAACCUGAAACCGUGUGCCUACAACCGAUCGGAGCACGUUAAAGUGUGACGAUGUGCUUUUUGUAGAACGAGCCAGCGAGUUACGCUAUGUAGCAAGGUUAAGUACUUAAGGUAUGGAGCCGAAGGGAAACCGAGUCUGAAAAGGGCGAAAAGUUGCAUGGUGUAGACCCGAAACCGGGUGACCUAUCCAUGGCCAGGUUGAAGCGAGAGUAAAAUCUCGUGGAGGACCGAACCACGUUGGUGUUGAAAAACCAUGGGAUGAGCUGUGGAUAGCGGAGAAAUUCCAAUCGAACUCGGAGAUAGCUGGUUCUCCUCGAAAUAGCUUUAGGGCUAGCGUCGUGUAAUUGAGUAAUGG